UUAUAUUUUAAUGUUAAAUGCAUAAAAAUUUUUGAUAUUUUUAGUGAUAGAAAAUUAAACUAUCAAAUAUAAUC
rnacentral:tRNA from 1 species